rnacentral:rRNA from 1 species
AGACCCGAAACCCGGUGAUCUAGCCAUGGGCAGGUUGAAGGUUGGGUAACACUAACUGGAGGACCGAACCGACUAAUGUUGAAAAAUUAGCGGAUGACCUGUGGCUGGGGGUGAAAGGCCAAUCAAACCGGGAGAUAGCUGGUUCUCCCCGAAAGCUAUUUAGGUAGCGCCUCGUGAAUUCAUCUCCGGGGGUAGAGCACUGUUUCGGCUAGGGGGCCAUCCCGGCUUACCAACCCGAUGCAAACUGCGAAUACCGGAGAAUGUUAUCACGGGAGACACACGGCGGGUGCUAACGUCCGUCGUGAAGAGGGAAACAACCCAGACCGCCAGCUAAGGUCCCAAAGUCAUGGUUAAGUGGGAAACGAUGUGGGAAGGCCCAGACAGCCAGGAUGUUGGCUUAGAAGCAGCCAUCAUUUAAAGAAAGCGUAAUAGCUCACUGGUCGAGUCGGCCUGCGCGGAAGAUGUAACGGGGCUAAACCAUGCACCGAAGCUGCGGCAGCGACACUAUGUGUUGUUGGGUAGGGGAGCGUUCUGUAAGCCUGUGAAGGUGUGCUGUGAGGCAUGCUGGAGGUAUCAGAAGUGCGAAUGCUGACAUAAGUAACGAUAAAGCGGGUGAAAAGCCCGCUCGCCGGAAGACCAAGGGUUCCUGUCCAACGUUAAUCGGGGCAGGGUGAGUCGACCCCUAAGGCGAGGCCGAAAGGCGUAGUCGAUGGGAAACGGGUUAAUAUUCCCGUACUUGGUGUUACUGCGAAGGGGGGACGGAGAAGGCUAUGUUGGCCGGGCGACGGUUGUCCCGGUUUAAGCGUGUAGGCUGGUUUUCCAGGCAAAUCCGGAAAAUCAAGGCUGAGGCGUGAUGACGAGGCACUACGGUGCUGAAGCAACAAAUGCCCUGCUUCCAGGAAAAGCCUCUAAGCAUCAGGUAACAUCAAAUCGUACCCCAAACCGACACAGGUGGUCAGGUAGAGAAUACCAAGGCGCUUGAGAGAACUCGGGUGAAGGAACUAGGCAAAAUGGUGCCGUAACUUCGGGAGAAGGCACGCUGACA